UUGAUCCUGGCUCAGGACGAACGCUGGCGGCGUGCUUAACACAUGCAAGUCGAGCGGAAAGGCCCUUCGGGGUACUCGAGCGGCGAACGGGUGAGUAACACGUGAGUAACCUACCUCGAACUCUGGGAUAAGCCUGGGAAACUGGGUCUAAUACCGGAUGUUCAUCUCCUGCUGCAUGGUGGGGGAUGGAAAGUGUUUAGCGGUUCGGGAUGGGCUCGCGGCCUAUCAGCUUGUUGGUGAGGUAAUGGCUUACCAAGGCUUUUACGGGUAGCCGGCCUGAGAGGGCGACCGGCCACACUGGGACUGAGAUACGGCCCAGACUCCUACGGGAGGCAGCAGUGGGGAAUAUUGCGCAAUGGGCGGAAGCCUGACGCAGCAACGCCGUGUGAGGGAUGACGGCCUUCGGGUUGUAAACCUCUUUCACCAGGGACGAAGCUUUUGUGACGGUACCUGGGGAAGAAGCGCCGGCCAACUACGUGCCAGCAGCCGCGGUAACACGUAGGGCGCGAGCGUUGUCCGGAAUUAUUGGGCGUAAAGGGCUCGUAGCGGUUUGUCGCGUCAAAGUGAAAAUCCGGGGCUCAACUCCAGACUUGCUUUCGAUACGGGCAGGCUAGAGGUAGCAGGGGAGAAUGGAAAUUCCUGGUGUAGCGGUGGAAUGCGCCAGAUAUCAGGAGGAACACCGGUGGCGAAGGCGGUUCUCUGGGCCUUACCUGACGCUGAGGAGCGAAAGCGUGGGGAGCGAACAGGAUUAGAUACCCUGGUAGUCACGCUGUAAACGUUGGGCGCUAGGUGUGGGAGUCUUUUGUGACGUCCGUGCCGUAGCUAACGCAUUUAAGCGCCCCGCCGGGGAGUACGGUCGCAAGACUAAAACUCAAAGGAAUUGACGGGGGCCCGCACAAGCGGCGGAGCAUGUUGCUUAAUUCGAGGCAACGCGAAGAACCUUACCUGGGUUUGACAUGUGGGUUAAUCCGGCAGAGAUGUCGGGUCCUUUUGGGAACUCAUGCAGGUGGUGCAUGGCUGUCGUCAGCUCGUGUCGUGAGAUGUUGGGUUAAGUCCCGCAACGAGCGCAACCCUCGUCCUAUGUUGCCAGCACGUUAUGGUGGGGACUCAUAGGAGACUGCCGGGGUCAACUCGGAGGAAGGUGGGGAUGAUGUCAAGUCUUCAUGCCCCUUAUGUCCAGGGCUGCAAACAUGCUACAAUGGUCGGUACAAUGGGCUGCGAGACCGUGAGGUGGAGCGAAUCCCUAAAAGCCGGCCUCAGUUCGGAUCGGGGUCUGCAACUCGACCCCGUGAAGUUGGAGUCGCUAGUAAUCGCGGAUCAGCAACGCCGCGGUGAAUACGUUCCCGGGCCUUGUACUCACCGCCCGU
rnacentral:rRNA from 1 species